GGCCUGAGGCAGCAUCUGCUCUUGGGGGCACCCUCGGGGUCCCCACCUCCAGGGCCAGGGUCCGUGUCUCUCUCCUCUCCAGCUGUGACCCAGACACCUGAUAUCGGGGUCCAGGGGACCCUGGAAUCUGGCCGCCCCGGGAUCAUCACCUGUGCCCUGCCCACGGCCUCUGAGUGGUGCACACCCCCCACCUCUCCUGGAUGGGGGCCGCCCUCCGCUCCCUGCGGUCCAGGCCCCCCACCUCCUCAGUGCUGACCUUCACCCCGGGGCCCAGGGACCACGGCACAGACCUCACAUGUCGAGUGGCCUUCCCCGGAGCUGGAGCCGGCGUGAGCUUCCAGAGCACCAUCAGGCUGAACGUGUCAUAUGCUCCAGAGAAUCUGACCGUCCACGUCUUCCGGGGAAAGAGCACAGGCUGAGCUGGACCCAGGGGAGCCUGACCCUGAGCCCCUCCCAGCCCCUGGAUCCCGGGGUCCUGGAGCUGCCCCGCAUGGUCUUGGGGGACGGAGGGGAGUUCACCUGCUGAGCUCAGCACCGGAGCGUCUCGUACCAUGUCUCCUUGAACCUAGUCAUGCAGGGUGAGCGGACCUGCGCCUCUCAUGGGAAGUCUGAUGACGGGCCCCCACGUUCCAAGCUGCAUCUGCAAACUACACCACAGCUCAUGGCAACACUGGAUCCCUAACCCACUGAGCAAGGCCAGGGAUAGAACCUGCGUCCUCAUGGUUCCUAGUCGGAUUCAUUUCUGCUGCACCACAACAGGAACUCCUGGGUUCCGAGACCAGCUCAGCAGGUUGGGGCUGAAGAACGGGUGCUGUGAAACGUAAGGAAUAAAGUUAACAUCAAACAAGACA
rnacentral:lncRNA from 1 species